AAAAUACAAACAAAGAAAUCAAUCAUUCAUCCAAAUCCUCUUCAUCUAAAUCAAAGGCAACAUCAUCCUCUUCAUUGCCAAAUCUAGAUGAACUUGUACGGUAUGUCAUCAAUUUCCUUGUACUGUGUCAUCAUAUACUUUUAAGUCAUUAGUGGCGUCAGAAAAGCUUCCCCAGUACAGAUGGUGAAAGCAGGUUUAAAAAGAAAUAAAAGACCUGCUCCAGAUUUAUUUCCUACCCCAGAAUUAUGAAUACACAUUGCUCCUCAGAAUUAUGUCCACUGCUCCAGAUUUAUGUCGCACCCAGCCCUAUCCCAGAAAGCUCCCUCUUUCCUACCCCUAUCCCAAAUUGCUCCCAUAUCAAGCCAAAAGUAUUACAUCACAGACUCACAAUUCACACCAGUUAUAAAAAAUAAAAAAAUAAAAAUAAAAAAAUUAAAAAAAAACCCUAACCUUUAAAAUUGGGGAAUUGUGGGCUUGUUGACGGCGCUGGGGUGACGGCGGCAUGGCGACCGGUGCUGCUCCAAGUGGGCGGCGGCUGCUGUGUUCUGGCGCGCGGGAGUCUGGAGAAGAGGGUGAAGAAGGGAGAGGACGAUCAAAGGUAUGGUCCCCGUAUGGACGGAUUUCUG
rnacentral:lncRNA from 1 species